CCCUCACUGGACUAGACUAGACUAACAGUUAGUCCAGUCCCGUGUUUGAUAGCAACCAGGACUACGUUUAAUGGAAUUAACCGGGACUCGCGUCGACUAAAACCUUCGCUAGAAGGUCUUGGCGAAGAACCCCCAGAAUGAGCGGACUGCUAGUCCCGCCCUCCCCCUUCUCCUUCGCACCUUUCGCCCUUUCGCCCUUUCAUCUUCUUCCUCGUCGCACCAUCGCCCUUUCAUCUUCUUCCUCGUCGCACCAUCGCCCUCUCUUUUUCUGCUCCUUUGUCAGUUUCCAACCGCGUACUCUGCGUUCGCCACCAAAGGCCUCCUCGAGUGGGUGGAUAAGCACUGCGUUCGCAUCCAAAGGCCCCCCGCACCGACCGAUUCUCCAACCCCAACAGCCUAUUAAUUAGAUUCUUGAAGCAGCAGAGAAAAAAAUGGGAGUUUCAAUUGUUUUGGAAUCAUUGGCUUUGGCAUUGGAAGUCUGAAGGGAUUCUUGGUGGGUUUCCAUGUUUUCGUCAAUUCAAAGCAUGAGGAAGUGAAUGUAAAUUUUUAUUAUCUGAAGCUUUUGAUUUCUAGGUUUUUGAGAUGGUGCAAGAAUCUUUCAGUGGAAAUUAUUAUCCCUGUGUUUUUUGUUGUUAUUCAUGGUGUUUGCUCAAUCGAUUGGGUAUUUUGUGUUUAGAGAUUUUGGAUUAAGCAAAUUGGUUGAACUUGUCAGUCUUGCAUGUAUUUGAUUGCAUUUAGUAUCACCUGCAUCUCAUGAAUCACUGAAUUUUGCAGGGA